rnacentral:lncRNA from 1 species
AAUUGAAUUCCUUUAAAUCAAAAUAAUCAAGUUUUGUUUAUGACUCUUCAAGGAAUUCUAACUGAGAAAAGCAAGAAAUGAAUCUAGAUGAUAAUAGAAAAACACACGGAUAUAAAAGAUGUGUGUUUGUGUAUAAGGUUAAGUAGCUACGCUGUAAUUACCUACUUAAUGAUGUAUUGGAACAAAACAACACAAUAAAAUAAAAGAAA